GUCCUUUCGUGCAUUCCUCUUCAAUGAUUGGCACAAGAGCCUCUCUUGCCUUGGCCAAGUUGUCGGUUUCCUGUACUGUAUGCCUACGUCAAUGGAAUUUUUUGGCCAAUCGAUACCGAGUUUUCCCACUGYUGCCCGAUUACACGGUGCGGCAACGGGMAAACCUUGAAGCGAAAUUCGUGUUCCGAAUUGCAUAUAAAUUGCUAUACAGUCGGCCCACGAGCUAAGCUUGAUUUCGGGGAUUCRGAAAACACUGCAUGUAAGGGUCGGAUAACUCUAUAUUUGCCCACAAAUUGGCAUUACAUGCCCCAUUCGAUUGACGUUCGAUGUCUCAUAGAUGUUUUACAUCUGGCGACUCGAUGUCACUGAAGAAUGCUACCUGGUUGAUCCUGCCAGUAGUCAUAUGCUUGUCUCAAAGA
rnacentral:misc_RNA from 1 species